rnacentral:rRNA from 1 species
GUAGGGGGCAAGCGUUGGUCCGGAUUUAUUGGGCGUAAAGAGCGUGUAGGCGGCCAGAUAGGUCCGUUGUGAAACUGGAGGCUUAACCUCCAGCGGUCGAUGGAACCAUUUGGCUAGAGUCCGGAAGAGGAGAGUGGAAUUCCUGGUGUAGCGGGUGAAAUGCGCAGAUAUCAGGAAGAACACCCGUGGCGAAGGCGGCUCUCUGGGACGGUACUGACGCUGAGACGCGAAAGCGUGGGGAGCGAACAGG